ACCUAAGCUACAUGCAAGCAUGGAGAGCAAAGGAAAAAGCAUUACAGUUUUUGAGAGGGAAUCUAUUGUGUAACUGUUCUACGUUUUGACUGUAAUAAAGAAGUUUACUCAUAUAUUUGAGUAAUGUAAACUGUUGCCAGAUUGCAGUUAUAAUGUACUGUAAGUGUGUUCUAAAUGUGUUACCUUGAAUCACCUAAUGUG
rnacentral:lncRNA from 1 species